UGCAUUAGCAUUUUGCGCGGGAAUAGAAGAUUAGCUUGAUAUCCGUUCAGGAAAUUUAUUGUGGCCGAAUGUAAAUGGAAAAGUUUUUAUAAACCAGAGACAAAUCUUCAAACAGACCUAGAAUAGACAUAAGGCCUGCAAAUGCGACCUCCGGAGGCUGCAGCCUUCAGUUUCCAAGCGAGCCACUUCUUUUUGGAGCUUGAGCUCGCCGACGGGGAUUCCGUGACAGGGCAGGGAUUACAGACCAUUGAGGCAUGCGUAGCGGUGAAUGAAUCAAUCAGAAGAAUCAACCUCACAGAGAGUCAGAGCAUCUUUCACAAGAACAUGCGCACCACUUACAGUACAAGUUGCAAUGAGCUGUACGUCACCCUUCAGGAGAGUAAAUUGAAGGGAAGAAAUGGUUUUGUCGCCACCUGGUGAUCAUCCUGUUAGCUGAUGUUUGUGAAAAGUGUUUGCUGUAAAAACGAAUAUAUACAGUAGCCUGUAUAAUGUAUAUGGUUGCCAUGCAAGAGCAAUGAAAUAAAGUAUAUGUGCAUUCAUGUUUUUAUUUACUUAUUUUGCAUUAAUUAUAAUUAUACAUUACUGGAAAGCACAAACCAUUCAUUUAUAAAUAGUUGAAUACUCUUGAAAGGCAUUUGCUUUCAUAUGCUCAGAUUCGUUUUAUGUACAAAACACUUGAUGAUCCUUAUUGUCUUCUAGGACCACUACAAAAGUCUUUUUAUGUUUGCU